rnacentral:tRNA from 8 species
GGGUCGUUAGCUCAGUCGGUAGAGCAUCUGACUUUUAAUCAGGUGGUCGCAGGUUCGAUUCCUGCACGACCCACCA